GCCGUCUUAGCUCAGUUGGUAGAGCGGCGCUUUCGUAAAGCGUAGGUCGUGAGUCCGAAUCUCACAGACGGCU
rnacentral:tRNA from 1 species